rnacentral:lncRNA from 1 species
AUGCUUCGUCCUGUGUGUGUGGAAACUGUCAUCAGUUGAUCUGCAAGUGGUUAGAGUGGAGGUUCAGCUGAUUGACUGUUAACUUAGGACGAAAGAGGCUAAGGUUCUAAACUUCGUUAUGGUCUACUGCAGUUUUGUAUAACAGGUCUGUUUUAUUAAAAUUAAAGAUGAAUUUUUUUUUUUAAAAUAUAUGUAGUGAUCAAUUGAUAAAAAAAAUUGAAAUUUCAUUGUCAUAUUUUAUUUUUAACUGCCCAUACAAUUAUUGCUUCUCUACAAGAAUUUGUCACUGAAGAGAAUUGUGCUAAACCAACCAAGUGAGGGGUUCUGUGCUCUGAUCGAGAUAAUUCCUGUUUAUUUUGUUUUUAAUCUGUCAAGUUGAUCGUUUUGUGCUUGGGUCUCUCUUUUCCUAUAUUAACAUUGCGAGGUGUUCUGUUUUGAAGAAUGAGUUUUUAACAUUGUAUUUCUAAAUGAAUGUACGUGAAUUGAGGUGAGAUGAUGUACUGUUAUUGUUAAUGUUAAUGAGAUGAGAUAGUUUGUUAUUGUUAAUUGUUGAAAUGAGAUGGAG